rnacentral:rRNA from 1 species
UACGUAGGGGGCAAGCGUUGUCCGGAAUUAUUGGGCGUAAAGCGCGCGCAGGCGGUCAUUUAAGUCUGGUGUUUAAUCCCGGGGCUCAACCCCGGUUCGCAUUGGAAACUGGAUGACUUGAGUGUAAGAGAGGAAAGUGGAAUUCCACGUGUAGCGGUGAAAUGCGUAGAGAUGUGGAGGAACACCAGUGGCGAAGGCGGUUGCCUGGAGCUUUGCUGACGCUGAGGCGCGAAAGCGUGGGGAGCGAUCCGG